AAAGAAUAAACAUGAAAUGUCAUUUCUAAAAAUAAAUUCUUAC
rnacentral:tRNA from 1 species